rnacentral:rRNA from 1 species
CAGCCGCCGCGGGAAUACAGAGGAUGCAAGCGUUAUCCGGAAUGAUUGGGCGUAAAGCGUCUGUAGGUGGCUUUUCAAGUCCGCCGUCAAAUCCCAGGGCUCAACCCUGGACAGGCGGUGGAAACUACCAAGCUGGAGUACGGUAGGGGCAGAGGGAAUUUCCAGUGGAGCGGUGAAAUGCGUAGAGAUGUGGAGGAACACCAGUGGCGAAGGCGACUCUCUGGUCUGUAACUGACGCUGAGGAGCGAAAGCGUGGGGAGCGAACAGGAUUAGAUACCCCUGUAGUCCCUGUCUCUUAUAC